UCCCUAGUGGUCUAGUGGCUAAGACUCUGUGCUCCCAAUGCAGGGGCCCAGGCUUGACUCCUGGUCAGGGAA
rnacentral:tRNA from 1 species